AGUGAACGCUGGCGGUAGGCCUAACACAUGCAAGUCGAACGGCAGCACAGUAAGAGCUUGCUCUUACGGGUGGCGAGUGGCGGACGGGUGAGGAAUACAUCGGAAUCUACUUUUUCGUGGGGGAUAACGUAGGGAAACUUACGCUAAUACCGCAUACGACCUACGGGUGAAAGCAGGGGAUCUUCGGACCUUGCGCGAUUGAAUGAGCCGAUGUCGGAUUAGCUAGUUGGCGGGGUAAAGGCCCACCAAGGCGACGAUCCGUAGCUGGUCUGAGAGGAUGAUCAGCCACACUGGAACUGAGACACGGUCCAGACUCCUACGGGAGGCAGCAAUGGGGAAUAUUAGACAAUGGGCGCAAGCCUGAUCCAGCCAUACCGCGUGGGUGAAGAAGGCCUUCGGGUUGUAAAGCCCUUUUGUUGGGAAAGAAAAGCAGCAGGUUAAUACCCCGCUGUUCUGACGGUACCCAAAGAAUAAGCACCGGCUAACUUCGUG
rnacentral:rRNA from 1 species